rnacentral:tRNA from 1 species
GGUACCGUGGUGGAAUCGGCAGACACAUGGGGCGGGUGACGUGGCCACGAAGACCGCGCCCAGGCAUGAAACAUGGCAUGAGGGUUCGACUCCCUCCGGUACGCU